rnacentral:rRNA from 3 species
CACGCCGUAAACGAUGUCAACUAGUUGUUGGGUUCCUUGAGGACUUAGUAACGCAGCUAACGCAUUAAGUUGACCGCCUGGGGAGUACGGCCGCAAGGUUAAAACUCAAAUGAAUUGACGGGGGCCCGCACAAGCGGUGGAGCAUGUGGUUUAAUUCGAAGCAACGCGAAGAACCUUACCUGGCCUUGACAUGCUGAGAACUUUCUAGAGAUAGAUUGGUGCCUUCGGGAACUCAGACACAGGUGC